GACGAACGCUGGCGGCGUGCCUAAUACAUGCAAGUUGAGCGCUGAAGGUUGGUACUUGUACCGACUGGAUGAGCAGCGAACGGGUGAGUAACGCGUGGGGAAUCUGCCUUUGAGCGGGGGACAACAUUUGGAAACGAAUGCUAAUACCGCAUAAAAACUUUAAACACAAGUUUCAAGUUUGAAAGAUGCAAUUGCAUCACUCAAAGAUGAUCCCGCGUUGUAUUAGCUAGUUGGGGAGGUAAAGGCUCACCAAGGCGAUGAUACAUAGCCGACCUGAGAGGGUGAUCGGCCACAUUGGGACUGAGACACGGCCCAAACUCCUACGGGAGGCAGCCGUAGGGAAUCUUCGGCAAUGGACGAAAGUCUUACCGAGCAACGCCGCGUGAGUGAAGAAGGUUUUCGGAUCGUAAAACUCUGUUGGUAGAGAAGAACGUUGGUGAGAGUGGAAAGCUCAUCAAGUGACGGUAACUACCCAGAAAGGGACGGCUAACUACGUG
rnacentral:rRNA from 1 species